AUGAGCGUGGUUGUCAUCGGGAUCUCAAGGAUGAGGGUGUGGUCUUGCGGGAUCAGUGAUGGAUGUGAGCAUGAGAGGGGUUGUCGGUGUGAUGCGGUGGAGAUUGGACUGCAUGGUCGUAAGGAUAACGUCACAGUGGUGGGAUGUGUGUUCGUCGGUGUCGGAGGGAGUCGUUGGGCUGAGUUUUACGUGGAGGUCUGGAUAGCGCGGACUAGAUCUGUGGCGGCGAGUGGUUGUUUUUACAGGUUUAUUUUAUUUGUCUGCAACUUUGUGUUUACAGGUUUAGUGUUUAUAUGGUGA